rnacentral:rRNA from 1 species
GGAAACUCUGAUGCAGCGAUGCCGCGUGAGUGAAGAAGGCCUUUGGGUUGUAAAGCUCUUUCGUCGGGGAAGAAAAUGACUGUACCCGAAUAAGAAGGUCCGGCUAACUUCGUGCCAGCAGCCGCGGUAAUACGAAGGGACCUAGCGUAGUUCGGAAUUACUGGGCUUAAAGAGUUCGUAGGUGGUUAAAAAAGUUGGUGGUGAAAUCCCAGAGCUUAACUCUGGAACUGCCAUCAAAACUUUUUAGCUAGAGUAUGAUAGAGGAAAGCAGAAUUUCUAGUGUAGAGGUGAAAUUCGUAGAUAUUAGAAAGAAUACCAAUUGCGAAGGCAGCUUUCUGGAUCAUUACUGACGCUGAGGAACGAAAGCAUGGGUAGCGAAGAGGAUUAGAUACCCUCGUAGUCCAUGCCGUAAACGAUGUGUGUUAGACGUUGGAAAUUUAUUUUCAGUGUCGCAGCGAAAGCAUUAAACACACCGCCUGGGGAGUACGACCGCAAGGUUAAAACUCAAAUGAAUUGACGGGGACCCGCACAAGUAGUGGAGCAUGUGGUUUAAUUCGAAGAUACGCGCAGAACCUUACCAACACUUGACAUGUUCGUCGCGACUCUAAGAGAUUAGAGUUUUCGGUUCGGCCGGACGAAACACAGGUGCUGCAUGGCUGUCGUCAGCUCGUGUCGUGAGAUGUUGGGUUAAGUCCCGCAACGAGCGCAACCCUCACUUUUAGUUGCCAUCAUUUAGUUGGGCACUCUGAAAGAACUGCCAGUGAUAAGCUGGAGGAAGGUGGGGAUGACGUCAAGUCCUCAUGGCCCUUACGUGUUGGGCUACACACGUGCUACAAUGGCAUUUACAAUAGGAAGCAAGAUGGCGACAUCAAGCCAAUCCUAAAAAGAUGCCUCAGUUCGGAUUGUACUCUGCCACUCGAGUACAUGAAGCUGGAAUUACUAGUAAUCGCGGAUCAGCG